ACCCUAAGUCUAUAUUAGUUAAUCCUAAGGGUAUAAUUGUCUUUUACUCUUCAUUAAAAGUGAAGAUAGAAGUGGUUAGUAUAAACAUGAAAAAUGGUACUAUGAAUGUGCUAUUUGUGGCAAUUUCCCAUAUUUUUAAAAUAAGCUAUAAUAUAUUGUACUUCAAAAUAAUUUUGUAGUAAUGAUCUUAUUUGAGAAAUUACUUGAAAUACACUAAUUUCGGUAAAAUAGUUUUAUUUUUUUAUUGGAAAUAGAAAUGGAUCUUUCUAACAAAAUCUUUUGAAAAUCUUUGUAAAAUGUAUUUUAGAAAAUUAAUCAUUUAAUUUUUAAAUAUCAUUAAAAUAUAGUUAAUAAUAUUUUUAUAUUUUUUUAAAAAAUAUAUAUAAAUAAAAACUAAAUUAGAUUAUAAUUUCUAGUUAUAGUUUAUUAUUAUUUAAAUUUAAAUUAAUUACUUGUUAAGUAAAUUUUAAAAUGAUUCUGAAUUCUUUUUAAAAGUAUUUUGUUAGAAUGUUCUAAUAUAUAUUUAUUUGUAUUUCAUAUAAAAAGAUGAAGAUAUUAAAUCAUGGCUAUAUUAAUAAUGUGUAUUAUAGUUCUCUUGAACUCUAGGUGAAAGAAUACAGUUUAUAAUGUUCCUUUUUAAUUAAUAGCUACAAUUAAAUUUAAAUAAUAUGUCGCACGUUAAAAAAAAAGAAGAAGCAUAUGUUUAGGAAGGAAAUCAGGAAAAUAUCUCAUUAAUAAUACGUUUACUUAGUUGUUUAGGAAAAUAAAAGACUAAAAUGCAACCAUAAUUACUGUUAUGAUAUUAUUAUGCAAAUAGAAAAUUUCAUCAAAGUAAUUAUCUAAUAGAAGGUCCAACUUAAAAAAAUCACACAUAAAAAAAAGUGGUGACUUCUGUUUUAAUAUAUAAGAUAUAAUAGAUUCGCGUGACAACCUUAAACAAUCAAUUUGUCAUCGCUGAAAAGGUUUCGUCCUAAACAUCAUCGGCCGUCUGUUGAUAUUACUUAGAGUGUGAUCGGUAAUUUUGGAGUAAAUAAGAGAAAAAUAAAAAGGUGAAAUAUAAGAGUGACUGGUAAAUAUUGGCAUAAAUUAGAGUAAUUAUAAUAGAGUAAACUGGUGAAAAAGUAACAGAGUAAACUAGAUGAAAUAUGAGAAAAGAAAUGAUAAAAAACAAACAAAAAAAAAAGUUAGUGGCAAGAAAAGGUUUCCCUCCUCAAAAACUACGAUGGAAAAAAAAGGUCACAUUACCUCUAUUUAAACAGUGACCAGCGUAAAUGAAUAAAAUAUCAUUAAUUCUUUAUUUCAUCUGAUUGGUAAACAGACCAGCAGAAUUGAGAGUAAUAUGUUUUUAGCUGAAUUAUUAUCGCCAAAAGUGACGUACAGUCAUACCCUAGUGAAAAGGUUAAAAUGAGAGAGAGGAAAAUAGAGUAAAUGGGUGAAAAAUAAAUUAAAUUAAGUUUCACUCAUGUGUAGAGAGAGAGGAAAAUAGAGUAAAUGGGUGAAAAAUAAAUUAAAUUAAGUUUCACUCAUGUGUAGAGUAGUGUAACAUUUUAUUCCAUUUCAAUAGUAGUGGAAGUAAAUAAAUAAAAAUAUAUUUUCACCUGAUUGGUGAUUUAUGAGAGUAACUGGGAAUAACUAAGUUUUCCACUCAAAUAUUUACUCUAAAAGUACCUUUCAGUCAUAUACUUAGGUAUGAUUGGUAACUUUAGAGUAAAUCAAAAUAAAAAUUAAAAGUGUGAUUGGUAACUGGUAAGUAGUAGAGUAAAUAGGAAUAAUUAAAGUAGAGUAAAUAUGAAUAAAAGUGAUAGUAAAUAAAAAAAAGCGUUGGAAUAAACAAAUAAAUGAAUAAUAAAAGUUAGAAGCAGAGUAAAUGAUUUCCUCUCUGUAAACUACGAUGGAAAAAGGUGGAAGUACCGUAGCCUAUUGGUUAAGGUUUAAAGGCUUCUACACCCAGGUCUGGGGUUCGAAUCCCAGACUAUACAAUUUAUUGCAGAUUACAGGAAAUCCAGGUUUCAAGUCCCGGAGAAAGCGGUUUAUUAAACAAUUAUGCAGAUUACAGAGAAAAGACUUUCAAGGGAUCUUCAACAUGGUGCAAGUAAAUCUGGCCAGGCGUGGAUCUUCAUAGGACGGCUCAGGUGAUGCAGUUGGCGUAGGUCUUCAUAAAGCAGAUAGUAUUGUCGGUUGUCGAAUCGUCUAUGUAAUCUUUCCUAUAUCAUAAUUGUAAGAUCGUAAUAAAUCAGCGUUAAAAAAAAAAACUACGAUGGAAAAAGGUAACUAGUAUACCUUGGUUUAAACAGUAGCGAGCGAAACAUAAUUGAAUAUGAUUAAAUUUGUUUUCCACUUGAUUGGUAAAUUCACCGGCUGAAGUGAGUGGAAUAAGAUUCCAGCUGAAAUAUUAUCGCUAAACUUGACAUACAAUCAUAGCUUAAAGGUCGAAAAUGGAGUAAAACUAAAAUGUGGAAACCAAUAAAAUAAAAAGAAAUAAGAAAAAAGUGUAUUACUCUAGCAAAAGAGAGAGUAAAGUUGGGUGUGUAUUUCUAUUUAUUUGAAUAGUGAGUAGAAUAAAAAAGAAAUAAAUGAUUUCUACCUGAUUGGUGAGUUAUUCGUAAAACACAGAGUAAAUAAAUAACUUCUUGGAGUAAAAGUUGUGCUAGAGUGACUAUACAAUCACAACCUUAUAUGUUCUUUUUCAUAAGAACAAAAUGCUAUAUCUGAAUAAACAUAAGAUUUGUUUGUGUGCUUAAUUGUGAUUCUUGUUUUUAAACAUUUUGAGAAUGAAGAAUUUUCUUUUUAGGGCUACAACGAAAGUUACGGUUAACAGUAUAAUUAAACGAAAAGUUGAUUAAAGAAAGAGGAUUAAUUAGAGAAAAAUUAGAGAAGUGUCCAAUGAUUCAGGGAACAGGUGUCCCUUUUGGCAACGACUACUUCAGUCUUUUCUUGUUCUGAAUUAAUUACUUGAUCUCAACCAACUAAUGACCUAAGUUUUUUAUUUUUUUUUGUAAAAAUUAAUGACCUAAGUUUUAAACACCAAAAGGUCCAAAACUAUCCGAUUUUGGAAUCUUAAUGGCAUGUUUGUAACUUAUCCAACUUUCCCUGGUAAAAAAAUAGUACAUGCAAAUUUGUUUAGCAUAAUAUCAAAAAUUAUCAUGUUAAUAAAUAAAUAGAAUAUGACGUAACAUAAACAACUUGAAUGAGAAUAACCACAUUUUGAAAUGUUUGUCACUGAUUGUAUCGAAUGGUUUUAACUAAUUGAAGAAAUGUCAAAAACUAAAUAAAGUAAUAUUAGAUACGAUAAUGUGGUUUACGCAUUAGCUUUAGAUUUUAGUUAGUUAGAUAGAACCAGUUUGUACCAAUAAAUUAUAAUUGUAUAUAAUAACUUGUACAUCGACAUUUUACUCCGAACAGAAUCAUUAAUCAAAAUUUCCAAGAUUCUUUUUUCAUCUUUAUCUCAUUCAGGAUAGCUUCAGUUUCUGUUCAACAUCAAACCUCAAAUCUACUAAAAUUAAUAUGAACGAUACUACUACUUAUACGUGAUGUCGUGAAUUCAUUCCAUGGUUCCAUCAUUUCACAAAUUAUCAAAAACCUAUAGUAUAUUCAUCUUAUGUAGGCUUACCAGCCCAGUUACAAAGGGCCCAUUUUGUUGUAACGUAUCUUGCGUCUAUCGUAUUCUUUGGAGUUCAAACCGACUGUAAAUCCACAAAGAGCCUUUUUAGUUUUGUUAUUUUAUGAAAACAUCGUCAACAAGUUCUUCAUUAUUCACGCCACGUUCCUAUCAGCAGUACGUAGUAACUAGUAACCCAUUCUUAACAUGGUAUACCACAAAGGAGUUAGCUUUACUGGCUUGGUAAACCUUUAACAUUAUAUAUAUCUGCCUUGAUCCAGUGGCAGCUAUGUCGAGAGUAUGUAGGAGAAGGCAAGACGCUCACGUAGAUUGUUUGUUCCAUUGAUUCGAUCUAGAGUCUGCAUUUCACGUCAAAUUUGAAACCUGCAAGGCUGCACGUUCGCUUCUUGUGUCAAAAUGAUCACCGUUGAAGAGAAGAAGAAUUAGAGGGAUACGUGGUUAGCUGCAUGCACAAGUAGUCUUUUAUUUUUGUAACACUCAUGUUUAAAAAAUAAGAGAAAACUAAGUGGGGAGUUGGACCGAGCUAAUCACUAGUCUACCACGUCCGGUGGUCACAACUGAUCAUUUCUGCAUGUUAUAUAGGCAAUCCGGCCCGCAGAAGCAGCUUACGUCCCGGGGCCGGCUUAACUAUGCGGGCGAAAUAAAUAAGUAUAAAUAUGACCACCCCGGGUCCAUCAAAUUAAGAGUCCAAAUUUUUCAAAAAAUAAUUUUUUUUAGAAUUUUUUAUGAAGAAAUAAAUAAGUAUAAAUAUGUUUAAAUAACUUUUAUUUUAUAUGUUUUUACAUCUAAAGUUAAUAAUAUUUUAUACAAUAUAGUUUUUUAAAAAAUAUGCUUAAAUGUUUUCUAUAUAAUUACUAAAGGGUCUAAAAAUAUUUUUGCCCAAAGGACCUUAAAAACUAUGAGCCGGCCCUGCAUGUCCGAACGAUGAAAUAUAUAGUUGUAUUGAUCAAAGGGUCUUUAACUGAUCUGAUAGAGGACUAAAAACUCUCGAGAUCUCCCGUAAGUGUAGAUAUACUCUCUCGACACUCGAGUCAAGGGAGCCUACGUACAUAUAUUCUUUAUAUAUUUCUUAUGUCAUAUGUGAGACUAACGAUACUACUCGUCAAUUAGUUUGUUUGACUAAGUUUCACUUUGAACACUAAUUAGAUUUGUACAACAAUUAAUCAUAUUAAUUGAUGAAUCUUUAAAAAAUACUACUCCUGAGCUAACCAUGUAGUCCGGACCAGGGCUGGAUCUAGAUUUAAAUAUAGAUGGGGGCGGGACAUAAAUAAAUUUCACAUUGUAUUAAAUUUUUGAUGGGGGCAUUCUAUAUACUUCGUAUAAAAUAUUAAAGAAAAAUAACAAAUUAGUUGGGGAACGUGCCCCGGUACGUUAACCCUUAAGUCCGCCCCUGGUCUGGACCGGACUCAAGUUGGAAAUAUACUAGACAAUCGGAGUGGACAAAACUAACAUAUGUGAAUUUCAUGGAUCUAAAGCUGAAUGGGUCUGUCUUGACCGAGUAACCGGAUUGAUAUCACUACGGCACGCCGGGACUAGACUUGGCGAGGAGAAAAUGUUGACCAAGGCACACCAAUUUAUAGGUUAACUAACAUGAAAAUAUAAGAGUUUAAAAUCUGAAUUAUAACACAGGGCAUUUCCAAUUGUUUUUUACUAAACUUUUGGCAUUUCCAAUUUUUACCUUCAUUUUUUUCUUUCAAAAUGAAUAAAUUCUAUCAUUAAUAUUUAUUACUAAUUUUAAUACUUUUUGUUAUUUAUAAACUUACAAAUCUUAUCAAAAUAAAAUUUUCUUUUAAUUAAAUAUUUAUUUUAUAUACAUAAAUGUGGUUAUUCAUUUUUUAGUAUUUUUAAGUUGUGAGUUCUUUUGUCUAUAAUUCAUUAAUAUUUAACCAAAAAUUAGCAAUAAUAUGUAUAAUAACUUGUUGUUCAAAAAUUAUCCUCUCCAUCGUUUUAUAAGUUUGCUAUAACAAAUUCUAUGUUGCGACGGUUUAUAAUUGGGGAAAUUUUACUUAUACACUUUCUUUGGUACCACAUUUCAAGUAUACUACAAGUAUGGGGACAUUUUCACAAAUACACUUUUCAUUAAUGACCAAAAGACCAUACUAGCCCUAACCUAAUUCUCUCUCGCGAUCCUCUUCUCUUCCUCUCUCCCUCUCUCUCUGCGAUCUUUUUUCUUCCUCUCUGCCUCCGAUUCACCGGAGAUCCACCGUCUCUCUCUCAUUCCACCGGUGCGGUUCUCGUGGCAGAAAAUUUUCAGGCUUUCUAUAUCGAUUUUGAAUGUUUGGUUACUUUAACAGCCUCCUUGUGUGGAUGGAUCUGGAAAUUGAAAAUUGAAUAGCUUUGGUUCUGUUGAGAGAAGCAGCAGAGUUGAGUAGAUCAUGACACUGACAGAGCAAGUGUUACAUGUUCCAUGAGCUAUAUGGUUGAAGUUGGGAAGAGUUGAGCCUGGUUGAAUUUUCCAACACUGCUAUGAAAGUGAGAUUACUGUGUGUUUUCAAAUUUUGACUCGCUUACCUUUUAAAUUAAAUCACUGAUUUGUGCUUCUUAUUUUAUACACAAGGAAACUGGAACAUCGUUGCAGACGUUGACUUCAGCUGCUACCAUGGAGCGUCUUGGUGGAGGUAAUAUCGUCCAGCCUUCUCUGUCUACGAGAGAUGCACUGGAUAAGUAUCAUAUUGUUACGCAGAAGAUGGAGGACUUAGUGGCUAAUAAUUCAGGAGAUGGUGAAAUUCAGGUACUUGAGUUCCUAGUGCAUAAGUUGUUAUAGUGAAGUUUCAUUUUCCAUUUUGUGUUCACCUAUAAUUAAUGGAAUUUUGAGUUUUUUAAAUAUUUUGUAAUUUUGGGAAAUGGUUUGGUGGUUUUUGGCCAUUUAAUGUCUAUCUGUUUUGACAUUGAUUCAUUCAUUGAUGAUCUCAUUAAUUUUUCA